GUUGUUUGCUGUUGUUUGCUGUUGUUUGCUGUUGUUUGCUGUUGUUUGCUGUUGUUUGCUGUUGUUUGCUGUUGUUUGCUGUUGUUUGUUGUUGUUUGCUGUUGUUUGUUGUUGUUUGUUGUUUGUUGUUUGUUGUUUGUUGUUUGUUGUUUGUUGUUUGUUGUUUGUUGUUUGUUGUUUGUUGUUUGUUGGUUGUUGGUUGUUGUUUGUUGUUUGUUGGUUGUUGGUUGUUGGUUGUUGGUUGUUGGUUGUUGGUUGUUGGUUGUUGUUUGUUGGUUGUUGGUUGUUGUUUGUUGUUUGUUGGUUGUUGGUUGUUGGUUGUUGGUUGUUGGUUGUUGGUUGUUGGUUGUUGGUUGUUGGUUGUUGGUUGUUGGUUGUUGGU